GACGAACGCUGGCGGCGUGCUUAACACAUGCAAGUCGAACGGAAAGGCCCUGCUUUUGUGGGGUGCUCGAGUGGCGAACGGGUGAGUAACACGUGAGUAACCUGUCCUUGACUUUGGGAUAACUUCAGGAAACUGGGGCUAAUACCGGAUAGGAGCUCCUGCUGCAUGGUGGGGGUUGGAAAGUUUCGGCGGUUGGGGAUGGACUCGCGGCUUAUCAGCUUGUUGGUGGGGUAGUGGCUUACCAAGGCUUUGACGGGUAGCCGGCCUGGGCGGGUGACCGGCCACAUUGGGACUGAGAUACGGCCCAGACUCCUACGGGAGGCAGCAGUGGGGAAUAUUGCACAAUGGGCGGAAGCCUGAUGCAGCACCGCCGCGUGCGGGAUGACGGCCUUCGGGUUGUAAACCGCUUUCGCCUGUGACGAAGCGUGAGUGACGGUAAUGGGUAAAGAAGCACCGGCUAACUACGUG
rnacentral:rRNA from 1 species